CACUCCUACGGGAGGCAGCAGUGAGGAAUAUUGGACAAUGGGUGGAAGCCUGAUCCAGCCAUCCCGCGUGCAGGAAGACGGCCCUAUGGGUUGUAAACUGCUUUUAUCUGGGGAUAAACCUACUUACGUGUAAGUAGCUGAAGGUACCAGAAGAAUAAGCACCGGCUAACUCCGUGCCAGCAGCCGCGGUAAUACGGAGGGUGCAAGCGUUAUCCGGAUUUAUUGGGUUUAAAGGGUCCGUAGGCGGACUGAUAAGUCAGUGGUGAAAUCCGACAGCUUAACUGUCGAACUGCCAUUGAUACUGUUAGUCUUGAGUAAGGUUGAAGUGGCUGGAAUAAGUAGUGUAGCGGUGAAAUGCAUAGAUAUUACUUAGAACACCAAUUGCGAAGGCAGGUCACUAAGUCUUAACUGACGCUGAUGGACGAAAGCGUGGGGAGCGAACAGGAUUAGAAACCCUAGUAGUCCCA
rnacentral:rRNA from 1 species